AUGAACGCUGGCGGCGUGCCUAAUACAUGCAAGUCGAGCGAACAGACGAGGAGCUUGCUCCUCUGACGUUAGCGGCGGACGGGUGAGUAACACGUGGAUAACCUACCUAUAAGACUGGGAUAACUUCGGGAAACCGGAGCUAAUACCGGAUAAUAUAUUGAACCGCAUGGUUCAAUAGUGAAAGACGGUUUUGCUGUCACUUAUAGAUGGAUCCGCGCCGCAUUAGCUAGUUGGUAAGGUAACGGCUUACCAAGGCAACGAUGCGUAGCCGACCUGAGAGGGUGAUCGGCCACACUGGAACCGAGACACGGUCCAGACUCCUACGGGAGGCAGCAGUAGGGAAUCUUCCGCAAUGGGCGAAAGCCUGACGGAGCAACGCCGCGUGAGUGAUGAAGGUCUUCGGAUCGUAAAACUCUGUUAUUAGGGAAGAACAAAUGUAUAAGUAACUAUGCACGUCUUGACGGUACCUAAUCAGAAAGCCACGGCUAACUACGUG
rnacentral:rRNA from 1 species